GAUGAAGAACGUAGCGAAAUGCGAUAAGUAAUGCGAAUUGCAGAAUUCAGUGAAUCAUCGAAUCUUUGAACGCACAUUGCGCCCGCUAGUAUUCUGGCGGGCAUGCCUGUCUGAGCGUCAUUUCAACCCUCGCCCCCGGCUUUUGCUGGGAGCGGUGUUGGGGAUCGGCCGCCCGUCACUGGGAGGCCGGCCCCGAAAUAGAGUGGCGACCACGCCGUGUGCUCCUCUGCGUAGUAGUAAAUCACCUCGCAGGCGGACAGCGGGGCGGCCUGCCGUAAAACCCCCAACUCUUUCUGGUUGACCUCAGAUCAGGUAGGAAUACCCGCUGAACUUAAGCAUAUCAAUAAGCGGAGGA
rnacentral:misc_RNA from 1 species